rnacentral:rRNA from 1 species
UACGUAGGGUGCAAGCGUUGUCCGGAAUUAUUGGGCGUAAAGAGCUCGUAGGCGGUUUGUCGCGUCUGCUGUGAAAACUCGGGGCUUAACUCCGGGCCUGCAGUGGGUACGGGCAGACUAGAGUACUGCAGGGGAGACUGGAAUUCCUGGUGUAGCGGUGGAAUGCGCAGAUAUCAGGAGGCAGACCAGUGGCGAAGGCGGAUCACUGGACGUGUGCUGACGCUGAUGCGCGGAAGGGUGGGGAGCAAACGGG